rnacentral:rRNA from 1 species
GACGUAGGAUGCGAGCGUUGUCCGGAUUUAUUGGGCGUAAAGAGUUCGUAGGCGGUUUGUUAAGUCUGAUGUUAAAGAUCGGGGCUCAACCCUGGGAGUGCAUUGGAUACUGGCAGACUGGAGUGUGGUAGAGGCUAGUGGAAUUCCUAGUGUAGCGGUGAAAUGCGUAGAUAUUAGGAAGAACACCAGUGGCGUAGGCGACUAGCUGGGCCAUAACUGACGCUGAGGAACGAAAGCCAGGGGAGCGAAUGGG